GUUUUAUUCAUUUUCCAGGUUAGCACUCUAUGUUUAUGAAUAUCUGCUCCAUGUAGGAGCUCAGAAAUCGGCCCAAACAUUUUUAUCAGAGAUAAGAUGGGAAAAAAACAUCACAUUGGGGGAACCACCAGGAUUCUUACAUUCUUGGUGGUGUGUAUUUUGGGAUCUCUACUGUGCGGCUCCAGAGAGACGAGAAACAUGUGAACACUCGAGUGAAGCAAAAGCCUUUCAUGAUUAUGUAAGUGAACAUGUGCUUUUAUAAAGUUAUAGUGUCAAUUUUCCUUUUAGUCACUACUCCUGAAAAAUGCAUUGGGUCAUCUGUUCUUUUGCUUUGGUACUUAAAAAAUUCUUUCUUUUUUUUUUCCUUGAAAAAUAAACUCAUAAUUUAAAAGUGCAAUACAAAGAGGUAGUUAAGGCUCAUUAAAGCUUAGAGAGUGGGCAUAACUCCAAGCUAUUAAAGGUAUUAUCAUUAAACAUGUCUGAUUUGGAAAUUUCAGAUUUAUAAAAAUGAAACAGUAAUUAUGUUUUCCAGAGGUUUGUUGUAAGAUUUCUGAGAAUGAUAAAGCUCCUUUUUGCAUAUAAGAUUAAAAAAAAUGGAAAUAGUCUGUUCUCUUUUUACAACUUUGGGUUAUAUAUCAUGACUAAAUACCCACUCCACUGAAUUCAGUUCCCCCAAUAAAAUUUAUUAUUGAUUAAAGGAAAUGUCAUACAAGAGGAUAGAAAAUUCUCGCCAAAAAUAAAUGUGAUUUUUAAAAAUAUUAUUAAGGUAGCUGGGCAUGGUGGCUCAUGCCUGUAAUCCUAGCUACUUUGGAGGCAGAGAUCAGGAGGAUCAGGGUUUCUAGGCUAGCCUGGGCAAAAAGUUAGUGAGACCCAUUUCAAGCAAUAAAAAACUGGACGUGGCAGUACGCAGUUGUCAUCCCUGCUAGGUGGGAAGCGUAAACAGGAGGAUUACCAUCCAGGCUGGCCCAGGCAUUAAAGCAAGACCCUAUUUCAAAAAUAACCAAAGCAAAAAGGGCCAGUGGCUCAAGUGUAAAGUGCAAAGUGCUGCACAAGUCUCUGGGAUUCAAAUCCUAGUACCAUAAAAAACAAAAAUGAAAAAAAAUUAAGGAAAGGCAGUGAACUGUCCUUGGCUUGAGCAUUUUUAAGAAGGAAUGGAACAGAAAGUACAGUGGGACAAUAGCAAGUACCUAAAUGUACCCACAGGGAUACUUCUGUAGUUGAUAGAGGGAGAUAUUAUUCUGUGUAAAAAUCUUUAAAAAUCAGAAGUCUCAGAAGGGAAAGAGAUUUUGUCCUUUUAAAGAAAUUAAUUCAGCAUUAAACUCAAGAAUAGAAUUGUCCAGAAAUUACCCCAAAGUAGCAUGAUGAAGAAGAUGCUGACUUAAGAAGUGAAAAUCUUGAGUACCUGGCAGGGACUGUGUAAUUCUUUAAAUGUAAUUCUUUUAAUUCUAAAACAGACUGUGUACUGAAGAUUGCUUGUGAUUGCUUCAUCUGAUUGUACUCAUAAGCUUUAUAUGUACUAAACAGUAGCUUCUGGGGACAAGGCAAGUAAAGAUACUACUGCACAUAAAGAAAAAACAGAAAACAGGUAUGAGGUAGGACUCAGGACACAGUGUUUAUCUAAACACUCUUGUUUUGCUUUUUUACCUUUGAUUGAUGAUAAAAGUAAAGCAGACCUAACAAUGAAGAGUAUAAGGAAUGUGGAUAGAGAGGGCACCCCAUCUUAUCUGUCCCUUACACCAAAGAGACAUGCUAGAUUUGACCUGUCAGGGGGAAGUUGUUUUUUUAAUCUACCUACUAAUUUUGACAGCUGGUAGAAUUAGAUAGUGUCAGUCUUCUACUCUUAAAGGAGUUAAUAGUAUCUUGCAAUAUAUAAUUUAAGAAAUUAAUCAUGUAAUUACUUUAUCAGAAUUCCAUUCUAUAGAAAGAUUUUCCUCAUGGAGACUUUGUGGGGAAUACUAAACUAAUUUAGCAACUUUUCUAGAAACAUUAGAUAAACCAUUAUUACACUUUUGUAGUCACUUUCAUCAUCUUAGCACUCACACAGUACUUUCAAAUUUUCAGAGAGUAUUUAUACUUACUAGAUUUAGAAAUCCCCUUAAAUCUUUCAAAGUUUUAAAAAAAAUGAAUAUUGGUCAUAGGUAGUGAAAUGAGAGUAGAUUUUAAAGGAAGAACAACUUUUUACUAUGUAGCUUGGUCCUAACAAAAAUGUAGCUUAGAAAAAAGUUAGUAUUUGGAUUUUAUAAUACAUUAUGAACAUUACAAUACAUUAUGAAAAUCUUUUAUCAAGUGUUUAAUUUUAUCUUAAAUUUUAGUUUUAAGAGAUGUAAUUUCUUCUUCCAUGGCAUUUUUAUUGUAUCUUCAAGCCAAAUUCUUUU